CCUACGGGUGGCAGCAGUGGGGAAUAUUGGGCAAUGGGCGCAAGCCUGACCCAGCAACGCCGCGUGAAGGAAGAAGGCUUUCGGGUUGUAAACUUCUUUUAUGAGGGACGAAAGAAAUGACGGUACCUCAUGAAUAAGCCACGGCUAACUACGUGCCAGCAGCCGCGGUAAUACGUAGGUGGCAAGCGUUAUCCGGAUUUACUGGGUGUAAAGGGCGUGUAGGCGGGACUGCAAGUCAGAUGUGAAAAUUAUGGGCACAACCCAUAGCCUGGAUUUGAAACUGUAUUUCUUUGGUGAUGGGGAGGAAAGCGAACUUCCGUGUGGAGGGGUGAAAGGCGGAGA
rnacentral:rRNA from 1 species